AGGCUGGUCUUGAAUUCCUGGGCUCAACUGAUUCACCUGCCUCGGCCUCCUUCUUCACCUCUAUUUCUUUCUUCACUACUCAACCCGAGGUGCAAAAGAGGAUAAACAAGUUCUGGGAUUACAGGUGUGAGCUGCUGCGCCCAGCCUGUCUUUAAUUCUUGAAGUAAAAUUUCUCCUAUAUUUGUAACAAUGACUCUCCCGCAUGCUAUUUUACUUCCUGAUUAGGUUGGGAAAAUGUGGCUUGAAAUUCACCUUCAAUGAAGAUUGUUUUCCAUGAGAGUCCUUUUUCCCCUAUGUUGUAGAUCUGCCUCUACCAAGUGGUUUUUAGUACGUUGCUGCCUGUGGUCAUUCAGAUUUCAACAGCGUUAAUAUCUUGGCUUGGUGCUUCCACUAUACAGAAAUAAAUUUGGUCCUUGAGUGCCCAAUGGCACAAGUUUGGAAUUUAUUUUUCUCAUGCAUAUGCAUUUUUACACUCAUGGCUCCAGCCAGAAAGAAAGCUGCCUUACCAUUAUUCUGGACAGGUGGGCAGUUGUCAAGGCUUAUGUUUGUGGAUGAUCAGUUCUGAGUAGCUUCUGGUUUUAAGCUAGUAACUCAGCACAGGGCCUGUAGCCAGGAUUCCUUUCUCAUUUAGAGAAUUCAAUUCCUAGUUCCCAACUGUUAUAUCUGUUUCUGAUAUCCCCGUGAGUCAUUCUGUCUCAGCCUUGCUCACCAGAGGACUUAGAAUUCCCUCCCCGUUAGGUUACUUGGGAAUUUCUCUUCUUUAAAGCUUACCUAUCUAUUUUAUUUUUUAUGUUAAAUUUUAUUCAGUAUUCUCAUGUCUGGAACAAAAUGGAGUUCUUUUAUUAGAACACAGACUAAUUUUGUUAGACCUGAACAAUGUGUUUAAAAUGUUUGAAAGCCUUUAAGUUGGGGAAUACAUGUACUAGCUUGUCACAUGCUUAUCUUAUCAUCAUACUGGCCUUAUGAUAUUCAUACUGGCCUGAUCUUCGUAAUGAUCUGAUGAUAUUCAUAUCACUCUACACAUGUUUUCAUUUGCUUUUUAGACUCCUGUUCUACAGAAAUAGACAUAUAUUAUUUUCUGAAAAUUUAAUUACUUGACCAUUUGAAAAUUGCAUCCUGUUUUAAAAAAUAUCCUGGCAGCUGAGCUGUAUACUUGGUGUAUAAUGUGUGCAGCAUUAGGGGUUCCCCAAUAUUAGUUCCAGAAUAUCUACCUAUAAAAUGAUAGCAAUAUUGGGAUCGAUGAUGUCUACAACAUACUACUAUUUCCUUGUGGUGCAAGAAAGGACGCGGGCUAUAGAGAAAGUCACAAGUAUCAAGUGUUCCUGGGGUUUAGGGACAUAAGACUAAAGAGGACAAGUAUUAUUGAGGUACUUCAGGGCAAGCAUGUAUGCCUUUGUCCCAGUCUUUUUAGGGAACAUUUAGGUUCUUCAGUAACCUAGGCUAGCAAUAUUAGCAUCAAAAAUCUUAUUUUAAGCUGGCUGGAAGGUAAUUUUGAAGAGUCAUUUUGCAAAUUUAUCCUAAUAUCUUAUGUGAUCCUUUCUUUUAACCAAAUGUAAGUGUGAAGAGACAGAGAUUGUCACCAGGAAUAGAGCACUAAUGUACAGCAAUAGACGGUAGAAAAUGGUGGUCCUUUCAAUGAGCCACUACAAAGCCAUCUUGUUUUAAAUUACCUAAAAGUGAUUCUCCAUGUCUGGGAAUUUUAGAAUUACGUGAGAGGCUUACAGCUUUUUAGGCCACAGACCUCCUUCCCUCUUCUUCUUGCCCUUUUUCCUUUGUAUGUUUCUAAGUGUCUAUUGUCCCCCUUCCUCUCCCACUGUUCUAACUACUGCCUAUAAAUAAUUCUCUUCCAGGACCAUUUCUACCCGUUAUGUCAAGAACCACUGAGCUACAGUGUUAAUGCUUGGCCAGUUACAUUGCCCAGUGGCUUGACAUUACAUUCAUUGCCAGCAAUAAUUAUGAACAUUUUUAGCCUAAAAUAUUUAAAUAGUUAUGAAUUCCUGCCUAUUCUACAUAUAGUUUCAAUGAUUAGAAUUAGAGAUCCUGUUUUCCCCCAGCAAUAUUAUAAAACUAAAUAUCUUCCACAUGAUAUCUUACUCUAACCUUGAGUUUUUAAUCAAUUAGUUAAUUAUAUUUACUUGGGAUUUUAGCCCUAAUGGGUCCACAUCACUUAAAAAAAAAAAAGUCUGUCCUCUGCUGAAUAUUCAGAGUUUAAAAAUGGAGGUUUAAUCUCUCUUGGCUGUUGAGUUUGAGCCUUCUGUUGGUUUCAAUAAUCUUUUAAUUAUUGCAGUAUUGUGUGCUGAAUUAUUCUCACAGUGUUAUUGUGGCAGGCCUGGAUUCUUAGCCCAGAAAAUUAGAAUUGUUUUCUUCUCCAGCCCUUCUGACAAUCAUAUUUUUAUACCUGUUCACAGGUUUCCAAAGAUUAAAUGUGAUCAACACUGAUCUCCAUAUUUUCAAUUAAAAUCUUUGUGAAAUACCACUUGAUUUCCAGUUGAAGUAGUAGUAAACCAUAUUUUCUCAAUGUAUGUGUAACUUCUCCAUAUCCUACUAUAUAUAGGUCAAUGAACUGAAAAUUUGGGUACCAUUCAACUUGGGAAGACAACCAAUAUAAAACAAAGAAAAAGUUAACUAAGAACAUUCUAGCUAUUGCUGAUAAUCUGAAAAAAAUUCUGGAAUGCUCUGGGGGCAGGAUUCAGUCUAGCAGCACGUAUAUAGUUUAGAGAAACUCUACAGGAUGUAGAUUUUGAAAAUAAAUAGAAACAAAUAAAUUUAACAUUUAUUAAUUUAUUGGACAACUACUGUGCUAAGUGAUUUACAUAAGAUUUCAUUUAUUCCUUGUAAGAGUUGCAUAUUUUACAACUAGGUAAGGAGGUAUUGACAGUUUUAUAAAUGAGGAGACUGAGGGCCAAGAGAGUUCAAAUAACUUACCCUAGGUCACUACAAAUAGCAAGAUUCUAUUUGAUUCUAAAAUUCUUUUCAGCAGACUAGUCUUACAAAAUCCUCUGUUCAGUAGUUUGUAUCUAAGUAGUUUAAAUAACUGAGAGGGGAAUUUGUUUCUAAACUUAAACACUGGAAAUCAAUAUUGUGCUCUUUUGUUAUAUGCAGUAUCUUAGGACUGCUGAAAUUCUAAUGGGUGAGGUUUCCCACUUGUCUGAAAGAGAGUAUUGUACACUGAUUGGGAUUAGGAGAUAAUAGUUUAGUUGGCAGUUUCUUUGGACAUUUGAUAUGGGCAGUAGAGAAGGAAUAAAUUAGCCAUUUUGGAAUAUGGUGAAAAUUAAUAGUAAAAUUAAAUAGCACAUAACUGAAAACACCCUUAUCCUAUAGGAAAUAGGACACCCUUACCCUAUAGGAAACUUUUGCUUAGAUUGAAAUAUAAGCAGCAGUGCUCAUAUAUUUACAGCAGUUUCAAAUUCAAAUGAAUCCUACUUUAAAAUGUGUUCUAUCUAUUCCACUGAAUUGUUAUCUGAUGGGAAGGUGGAAUGUAAUGCAGUGGAAUGUAUCAUUAUCUGAAACAGGCAUGGAGCAGUUUAGAAAUUUGCUCAAGGUCACACAAUUUAGCAGAGCUGAGAUUCAAACUCAAGUGGCCUGGCUCCAAAGCCAUUCUUCUAACCAUGACACAACUUUUUUUCUUUUCUUUUCUUUUUUGAAACAGGCUCUUGGGGUCUUGCUCUGUCACUUGGGCUGGAGUGCAGUGGUGCAAUCACGGGCCACUGCAGCCUUUAUGUCCAGGCUCAAGUGGUCUUCCCAUCUCAGCCUCCUGAGGGCCUGGGACCACAGGCAGCCAGAGAUUAGACAUAUUUGGAAUUAUUUCAUGCAUCAAGAGAAGCAACUGGAAUCCCUAGAGACAUGAAUACAACUUCAGGAAAGAAAUCUGCUUUUCUAUUCUUUGAUGACUGACCUAGGCUGUGUGGCUAGCUCUUCUCCUUACUUACAAAAUUAUUAUCCCAUAAAAAAGCACUGGAAAACUAGAGUUUGGAAAGCAAUGAAAAUGAAGCAGUUGCCUCGUAGAACUGGAAGCUCAACUUCAUGCCUUAAAUGUGGAUUUUUUUUUCUAAGUUCUUGGGGUGGUCCGGUAUCAGAGCUCAUAAUCAGACCCUCAGAGAAUAUGGCCAGUAUCCUUCUAGCUUGGAUUUAGAUCACAGAUCAGCUGUGACUAUUGUCACAGUUGCUAGGCAACGUUUGUAUGUUUAUUUCGAGGCCUACCCACAUGUUGCAUCAGAGGCCAAAGCUCAUGUGCUCUGCACUCCUCAGAACAAGUAGAGCUCUUUAUUUUUAACUAAACUGUUUCCUUGUAAUGUAUUUUAUGAAUGUACAGCCUACUCUGCCAAGCUGUAGUUAUCUUCAGUUUCUCCCUAGUAGUCCCAAUUCUCUAAAUUUUUGCAUUCAACUUCAUCUAACCUGUUGCAUUCUGGACUGAAUAUCUCUGGUACUUUCCUACCCCUAAGUCUUGUGCAAGCUGUUUUGCUCACCUAGAAUGCCUGCCUGAUCCAGCCUCUAUCUACACAUUUUGUAAAAUCAAGAUAUUUUGUUUUAAUAUUUGAUAUGAGGGCAGUCAACUUGUUACAGCAAAAAGUUCAUGGACAUUAUUGUCAUAUCUGUGUUCAAAUUCAGGCUCUGCCCCUUCUUAACUGUGUAAUCUUAGAUAAGUUAUUUAACUUCUCUAAGCAUCACUUUUCUCAUUGAUAAAAUGCAGAUAAUGUUUACCUAUCAAGAUUUAUGAAGAUAUAUUGAAAUGAGAUACAUAGAGCACCUGUCACAGCUCCUGGUAUUUGGAAGAUUCUAUAAGUCCCCACCUCCCUGUAGAUGACACUACAAUAAGCAUCCAAUAAAUAGUCCCUGCCUUGUCUAUGAAGCCUUUCCUAACCAUCUUCCAAACCAGCACCUCAGAAAUAGUCUCCCUCUUCUGACCGCCUGUAGCAUUGUAUUGUACCUAAGAUCUUAUCACAGUCAAACUUGUCAAAUACUAUGUUCUGAGAUACAAGUUGGCACUGUAACUAGAUCUGCUAGCACAACACCAUAUUCUGCCCAAAAGAGAUGGCUGAACUUCAUUCAUAGAUGAUCCAUUGUUUAUCUUUCAUCAGAAUCACACUUUCAGUUAUCAUAAACACUAUACCUUGUUAGAUGACUCUAUUGCAGGUCUCUUUAAAAGCACCAUUAUUAUACUUAAUAAUUAAAGGGAUUGUAAGAAUGUAUGUCAUGGUGUGACAGCUUGGCAAACAACAGACAUCUGAAUAUUCAUUUCCUGAAGUGAAUAAUCCAUCAUUACAGAAAGAAAAAUGGAAGCCUGUAUUCAAUAGACCUAUAAAAGGUGUUUAAAGAAUGUCCAUGUCUUUCUUAGAAAAGCCCCUUGUGAGCAGCCUUGUUUUGUUGCGGUUGUCUUACAGGAAGCAGCUCAGGGUUUUGCGUAUAUGUGUUUUAUUUUUAAGUUGUACAACUCCUGGUUGAUGACAGUCAUAACGUAAAUGACCUAAAGUUUAAAUUGCGUUAUUCUAAUCAGUUUUCUGACCUCUGCUGUCAACAGAAUUUCUGACGAUCAAAUAAUAAAACUCAGACAAUAUUGGUUUUGUGCCAUAAAAUAAUACUCUUGUGUUUAUUCAUGUACAAAUUCAUGCAUUUAUCUCAGAUACUUGUUAAGCAACUACUAUGUUAAGGCUCCGGGGAUGGGGAUGGGGAUGGGUGGCAACUCAAACAGGCCUGGCCCCUGCCUUCAUGGAGUUCACAUUUGGCUGUUUUAUAAAUGUUGUGAGGAAAGGAUUUUUUUUCACCCAUGAUUGCCUUUAUUUCAAUAUUUGAGAUGUGUUAUUAAAUAAGAAUCUGAUCAUGGCUCAGGUCAAAUUAUUUGUUUUUCUCUUGUACAUCUAGCAGAGCUGUUUGUAAAAGUUAAAAAUUAGUUAUUGAUUUGUCAGAUUUUUUAAUUUAGAAAAUGUUUUGUAUUUGUUUUGCGGUUUGCCUAAAUUGCUCUAACAUUUGGUAUCUAAUUUGACUCUCACAGUAACCCUGUAGGGUGCAUGGUAUUGCCAUGAUAAGAAACUAGAUGCUCAGCAGGCUUAAUUGACCUCCCAUGGAGUCCCGGCCACUUAGCAGCCAUCCAAAUGGAAACUUAAGUCUUCUGAUUUAUUAAGUGUGUUCUUGAUUCCAGCUUAAAAAAAACUUAAAGUAUUAAAACUGUAUCUUAUUCUGUGUUUAAAUGAGACUAACUGACAGCUAGAAAAUGGAAACAAAAAUGUGAAUCAACUGUGAUUUUUGAGCCCCUCUCUGCUACUGUAUAGGCACUGUGGGGAGUAGAAAUGACCUCUGCCUCUUGAUAAAUUUAUAGCUUCAUCGAUAAGACAUAAUGUACACUUAGAAAGGAACUCAGUAACCCUCCAACACAGAAUGCAUGGUUCAGUGUUAAAGUGAGAAAUAUCAACACAAGAGUUGAGAAGAUAAUAAGAGCUAAAGCAGAUGCAAAUAGUGUAUCUUGAGCUAAAUCUUCAAGGGCAGGGAAGAUGGGACUUGGGCAGGGAAGAGGCUUCUAGGCAGGGGGAAUGGCAAGUUGCAAGGCUCAGAAGUGGAAGGGAGUGUGAUGGUGAUAGUGAUAACAAUAACUGCCAUUUGCCCAGCACUUAUCACUUGCCAAGCAGUUAUUGGUUCACAUGCAUUAACUUAUCCUUAAAACGGCUAUCAAAACAAUUCAACCAGAGAAGAAUUGUUACUAUUUCAAUUUUACAUAUGAGGAAACUGAGGCAGAGAGGUUAAGCAACUUGCUCAAGGUUGCAUGUGCAUUAAAUGGCAGCUGGAUUCCACCAUGGUCUUGAGACCAGAAUCCACUCUAACCCUUUUAACCUGUGUGUUAUGCUGCCUGAUGUGGUGCUCGUGAGAUGGUAAGGACACCUUCAUGGUUAGAGGGGAGACUCAAUAUGGGGUCAUGAUGAGAGAGGUCAAAUAAUGGAGAAUCUAAAAAUCAGGCAGAAGGCAUUAAACUUUGUCUAGGACUUAUUGAUAUUUCAUCAGUGCGGAAACAUGGUAGACAUUUAUUUUAGAAAGAUUAGUCAGCCCUAGACAGAAAGGAUUGAGAGACAAAUAAGGGUAAGGAUGGCAACUAUUAGAUGGAAACUAUUAAAAGGGGGUUUCUAUCCAGGUAUGGGUGAUAGGUGAUUAGACCUGGAGUAGGGUAGCAGUAGAAAUGAGAAGGAUGUAAUGGUGAUAAGGACUGGAACUGGCACUGAAUCAACAGGUGAGUCAAGGCCAGGUGAUUUCCUGAGAGCAGCUUCAUGGUAUUACCCCCAUUUUACAGAUGAGGAAAUACGGAGGCUCCAAGAGGUUAAUUUGGGCUAAUAAGCAUUGGAGCAGGGAUUUCAGCCUAUAUCUAUCUUUCUUGGCUUCCUCUCUUUAAGGUAAAAUAAUGCAGUCUGGUCAUAUAGUAGAGUUGCUGAUAAGGUUUGAAGAAUUGCUCCCAAAAUAAGAGAUGCUUAAAGUCAUGGGGAGAAAUCAACAUUCAGAGGGAGCAAUAAUAUCAGAGAAAAGGCAGAGACUGACUAUUAAAGAACACUGGAGGGAGGGAGGAGGGUAAGGAUUGAAAAACUACCUAUCAGGUACUGUGCUUAUCACCUGGGCGAUGAAAUAAUCUGUCCACCAAACCCCCAUGACACGCAGUUUACCUGUUUAACAAACUUACACAUGUGCCCCUGAACCUAAAAGUUAAAAAAAAAAAGAAUACAGAGAAGAAUGGAGCAAGUGGAAGAGGCUUCCGGAAGAAAACAAGUUAGAGGUAUAGGGAGGGAACCCAGGGCUCCUAAAGCCACAGCAGCCAACAAGGAGAGAACAGUCAGUGAAUGACUCAAAGUGAAACUGCCAAUGGAUUGUCAAGUGGAGAAGGAGGGAACAUGCACGCAGCCCAGUGUUCUUAGUAACCCUCAACAAACAAAGACAGAUUCAGGUGUGUGAAGGGCAAGUAGUGUUGCAGGUGGGAGGAUAUGGGAGUGCUGCCAGUGAUGGGGUGGAGAAGGGAAGGAAGGUCUGUCAUGAGGAGAAAGAAUUCUGACGCAUCCGAUGCCCCACUCUGUGCCAAGUUCCGAGCCAAGCCAGCUGCGGUCAAGGGGAGAGAUCACGGGGAGGCUGAAUGGCUGGAGGGGAGGCAGAGAGGAUUCCUGUAAUCCAGUGGGAGGUGCCUGGCAAGAGGCCAGGAGGACGUGAAGGGAUUCUAAUGUGUGGUAGACAAAGAAGUAAGGAGCUGAGGGAAUGAUUGUUCCAUCAGCUACAUGUAGUGGCGCAAUGGAUGAGCCCGCAUCCUAGGAGCCCCCUUCCUCUGCCCCUGCUUCUAUAGAAGCCCUUACCUUCCCAUCCUGGCUCACUUGCCAGGACCUGCUGGGGAGCUCAGAACCCUCCCUACUCCCAUCCAGUCUCACAAGACAGUUAAGUGAGCCUCCCACCUCAGCCUUCCAAGUAGCUGGGACUACAGGCGCGUGCCACCACACUCAGCUAAUUUUUAAAUUUUUUGUAGAGACAAGGUCUCACUACAUUGCCCAGGCUGGUCUCCAACUUCUGGACUCAAGCUGUCCUCCCAUCUCGGCCUCCCGAGGUGCUGGGAUUUCAGGUGUGAGCCAUUGCACCCAUCUGUACAUUGCUUUUUAAAUAAUAAUUGUUGAAUAGGCGGGUGAGUGGAGAGUAAUUUCUAUUAAGGAACUUUUCUCUGCUUCUUGUUACUCUGACUUGUGCCUUAAUUCAAGUUUAUAAAUGAUUACUAAUAUUUGGGAUAUUAAGAUAGGUACAUGGGUCAUUUGGGAGGGGUAGUAUUUUGAUAGCAGCACUUUAUACUCUGAUUUACAGUAUUAAUUCUUUAGAGGUAUUUUGGUGUAUAUGAGCACUGAUGGUUGUGCUUUAAAAUUGGCAGCCCGUUGAUGUUAGCAGGACCAGCCAAGUGGCAGGCACUGCAGUAGAGGGACCUGGGUUAGAAGUCAGAUGGCCAAGCUCCCAGGCCUGGCGUACACAGCUCGGAGGGUCCUCGUGCAGAGAGUGCUCCUUUCCAGCCUGAGCGAUCCCUCCUUAUCCUCCAAUCACCGCAUGACAGGUCACAUUAUCAGAACUGCCUGUCUCAACUAUCCCCUGAACUGCUAUGGUUCCCUCAUCUACAUUCUCAUGGAACCCUGUGAGUUUCCUUUGUAGCAAAUAAUUGUUGGGAGUGAUUAUUUCUACUAAUGCCAUCUUUGACUAGGCUAUAGCUUUCAUACGGGCAGGGACAUGCCUACUGGUUUUACCUCUGUGUCCCCAGCACCUGACACAGUACCUGGCACAGAGCAUAUUCUGGAUAAACACCUGGGGGAGCCAAUGAACUCUGGUAAAAUCUUGGACAUGAGAUUCCAUUUUUCUCACCUGUUUAAAGCCUGUAUAUUAAAGCUUGUAUUAAACUUUAUCACUAAGGUGCUUUCUCUUUGAAGAUCUAUGGAUUAACCCUUCACAAUUUUUUAUUAUAAAUGUUAUCCACAUCAAUGAUACGAAAUUCAAACAAUGCAAAAGAGUAUACAAUGAAAGUGUAUUCAUUCAUUCACCAGAGAUUACAAAUAUUGAAAGUUGCUUGUCUUUACAGAGAGAAUAAAAA
rnacentral:lncRNA from 1 species